AUCUAAAUAGUUUAAAUAUUAAAAAUUAAGGAUUGUGGUUCCUUAGAUGUUUUCUUUAGAUU
rnacentral:tRNA from 1 species